UACGUAGGGUGCAAGCGUUGCCCGGAUUUAUUGGGCGUAAAGGGCGCGUAGGCGGCUCGGCACGUCCGUUGUGAAAUCGCCCGGCUCAACUGGGCGGGGUCAGCGGAUACGGUCGAGCUUGAGCAAGCUAGGGGGCAAUGGAAUUCCCGGUGUAGCGGUGGAAUGCGUAGAUAUCGGGAAGAACACCGGUGGCGAAGGCGGCUCGCUGGGCUGUUGCUGACGCUGAUGCGCGAAAGCGUGGGGAGCAAACAGG
rnacentral:rRNA from 1 species